GUCUCAAAAAUUUGUGCCUUAAUCACAUUGCUGGGGAGGCUGUGGAUUUCACUAUCAACAGAAAGUAAUGUAAGAUGUGAUAUCUUUUCAGCAGGACCUAAGGAGAUUUUCUCGAAAGAAAAGGGGAAAAUGCCGCUCUUAAGCAAAAAAUCUGGACCAUGUUGGCAGACAUACGUCUUUGAAACAUACCAGCAGAGAAUUAUUUAAUCAUUUGCCCCUUAGUUUUAUCUUGAUCACUCCUAGCGUGAUUUUUUCCCCCUCUUAGUUAUGCAGCAGCCUACUGGCUGACAUUUAACUAUUGAUUGUUCAUCCUGGGGAAUGAAUUACUGUGAUUUAUAGUCAAGGGUACAGAUGUAAAGAGACAGAAAGGAUCAGAUGUUUCUAGUGCCUUUUUUCUUCCUCUGAUGGCUUCUCCCAGAAACUUGAUAAAAGCACCAACACUAAAACAUGUUUACAAUAAGAAAGCUGUUUAUUCAUCUUAAGUAGAAAAUUCUAUAAGUUUAUGUAAAAUUUUGCCCAUGUGGGAACAAUUAGUCUUUUAAUUUGAGUUGUGUAUUGUAAUUCCAUGGAUGGAGAUGGGUGGAGGUUGGGCCGAGGGGAAGCUGAGGUAAGAAGCCAGACCAGAGAAUUUAAAAUGAUGUCUUUCUUUGAGGAUGCCCCCUUUGCCCCUCCUGCUGGGCCUCGCAGCCGUGGGAUUGGCCACAUCACUUCCUGUCCAAGUUGGCACUGAGAGUGGCACAGUAACUCUGCCCAGUGUUCUCAGACUGCAGUGGGCAAGUUUCCAGCAAUAGAGUCACCCAAAGAAACAACGCAGCCUCCUUUUUUUCUUUCUCUGUUGCCUAGGGCAGUUUUCCUCAGACCUCAGUACCUAUGUCCCUUGCUUUUGGAAUAACCCCAUUAGGUCCCCAAACCUUGCCUUUGAUGUAUGUGGCUUCUUGAGGAUCCCCUACAUUUGCAUCUGUUUCCUUCCCUUAUGCAAAGGCCCUACGUCUUCCCUGGGAGAAGAGUCCUCGGGGGCUUUCCUGUGGGAGAAAGGAAGGAUCUAUUCCUGCCCACACUUCUUUCUCUCCAGAUAGAGAAAUAGCUCACAUUUUUGGUGCCUACUCUGUACUGGGCACUGUACUGUGAGUUUUCAUGUGUGACCUCACAGGUACUAUGAUCAUCUCCAAGUGACGUUCAGAGAGGUGGUCUGCCCCAGGUCACAGGGCUAAAAUUAGUAACAUGUAAGGAAAAUGGCUUUACUCUCAGCGUGAGAUGAAACAGACAAUACAGUACACCUGCUGAGUGACAGAGUUGUCCCUGAGUUGUUAGGGCCUUUGCCCGCCUUGGAGCUCCACUUGCUUGGUGCACAGUAGGCAGCAAAUGGGCUGUAGAAUCAUGGUAUUUGUGAUUUCCUGUGUCCUUGACAGUUGAGAUAUUCUCUAAGGCUAUUUAUGUUCUCUCUACCAUGCUCGUCACAAGCAGUCUUCUGGGUCCUCACAAGCAGUCUUUAUUGUUUAUAUUUCUAUUAACAGGUCUGUUCAAGGCAACGUAAACCUUUCCUACCAUGUUCCUCAAAAUUCUUCCAAGCUCCUUCACUACCCAAUUCCAAAACCACUUCCACAUUUUUUGGUAUUUGUUAUAACAGCACCCCACUUCCAGGUACUAAAGUCUUUUAGUUUUCUAUUCCUGCUGUAAUAAAACCCACAAAUUUCAUGCUUAAAACAGCACGUGUGGGGCGCGGUGGCUCACAUCUGUAAUCCCAGCACUUCAGGAGGCUGAGGUGGGCGGAUCACUUGAGGUCAGGAGUUAAAGACCAUCCUGGUUAACAUGGUGAAACUCUGUCUCUACUAAAAAAUAUAAAAAAAAUAGCCAGACAUGGUGGCGGGCACCUGUAAUCCCAGCUACUCGGGAAGCUGAGGCAAGAGAAUCACUUGAAACCCAGGAGGCAGAGUUUGCAGUGAGCUGAGAUUAUGCCACUGCACUCCAACUUGGGCAACAGAGCGAGACUGUCUGAGAAAAAAAAUACACAAAAGCACACAUUUUUUUAUAUUACAGUUGUGUAGAUCAGAAGUUGGACACAGGUCUCACUGGAAUAAAAUCAAGAAGUCAGCAGGACCAGUUCCUUCUGAAGGUUUUGGGGAGAAUCUGUUUCCUUACUGCUGCAGCUUCUAGAGGUUGCCUGUAUUCCUUGGCUUGUGACCCGUUUCUUCAUCUUCAAAGCCACCACUGGCAAAUUUAGUCCCUUUUACGCCUGACAUUUCUUCUGGCUCCUCUUAUGUGAUCCCAUCUUUCUGUCUCUGACCACAGAAAUAAAAGACUUUUUAAAAAGACUCAUUAGAUUGGGUCCAUCUAGAUAAUCCAGGAAAAUCUCUCCAUCCCAAAGUCCUUAAUCUUAAUGCCGUCUGCACAAUGACUUUUGCCAUGAAUGUAACAUAGUCACAGGUUUGGGAAUUAGAAGUUGGGCACCUUUGGGGGGCGCAUUUUUCUGCCUGCCACACAUGAUAAGGUGUAGACACAAUACAGUUAACUCUCUUAGUUCGCAGUCGGCACCCCUUUAAGUAAAGUGUGUGGUUUCUAAUCAAGCAUUUUAUUCAGGGUGCAUCUGUUCCACCUGGCUGGCAGCACGCACCUUGCAGGUCAGGUGUGAGAUGAGCAAGACCCAUUGGAAGACUGGAAGCUACCUCCUUCUCUCUUUUAGGACAAGGAAGCGAGAGAGAAGCGAGGAGACCACUUGAGUUGUGACUCUCCUGCUUAUGGUGAAAUUAAGAACUAAAACUAAAACAACAGGAACCCUUUCAUAACGGAAAUACUGAAGUAUAAAAUGAAACCACCUCCUAAACAACUCUUUUUCCUUUGAAAACAAAGCUAAGCUGCGUUGAUGCUUGCACCUCUGCUCUUGCGUGGGAAAAUUGGACCCCUCUGUGACAUUUGAGCUAUUGAGGGCAGCACUGAAAAGCAGAUGGUAGAGCUGUGGCAGAAUCAACAUGGUUGGGAGAGCGGAAAGAACACAAGCUCUGGACUUCUCUCAGCCCCUUCUUUCUCGUCUGUAA
rnacentral:lncRNA from 10 species